rnacentral:rRNA from 1 species
AUUGAACGCUGGCGGCAUGCUUUACACAUGCCAGUCGAACGGUAACAGGCCUUCGGGUGCUGACGAGUGGCGCACGGGUGAGUAAUGCAUCGGAACGUACCCAGAGGUGGGGGAUAACGCAGCGAAAGCUGUGCUAAUACUGCAUGUGAUCUGAGGAUGAAAGCGGGGGACCGAGCAGCAAUGUUUGGCCUCGCGCCUUUGGAGCGGCCGAUGUCGGAUUAGCUAGUUGGUGGGGUAAAGGCCUACCAAGGCGACGAUCCGUAGCUGGUCUGAGAGGACGACCAGCCACACUGGGACUGAGACACGGCCCAGACUCCUACGGGAGGCAGCAGUGGGGAAUUUUGGACAAUGGGCGCAAGCCUGAUCCAGCAAUGCCGCGUGCGGGAAGAAGGCCUUCGGGUUGUAAACCGCUUUUGGCAGGAACGAAACGGUGUCCGCUAAUACCGGGCGCUAAUGACGGUACCUGCAGAAUAAGCACCGGCUAACUACGUG